CACGUAGGGCGCGAGCGUUGUCCGGAAUUAUUGGGCGUAAAGAGCUCGUAGGCGGCCUGUUGCGUCCGCUGUGAAAGCCCGGGGCUUAACCCCGGGUCGGCAGUGGAUACGGGCAGGCUAGAGGUAGGUAGGGGAGAAUGGAAUUCCCGGUGUAGCGGUGAAAUGCGCAGAUAUCGGGAGGAACACCGGUGGCGAAGGCGGCCUGCUGGGCAGUUGCUGACACUGAGGCGCGACAGCGUGGGGAGCAAACAGG
rnacentral:rRNA from 1 species